GCACGACUAGCACCUUCCAAUCUCACGAUCUGACUUUGCAAGUCUGCAGAUACAAGGGUGAUAGCGUCAGCGUUCUUCUUCAAUUCUGCAAAAAUCUCUUUCAUACGUGUAUUGUCUGCCAUGAUUUAGAUGAAAGCACCAAUGAAGUGUAUGCAAAGUAAUUUAAUGAAACAAUAGAAUAGAUGAACUUUUGGGUAUUUUUUUUAUAAGCUGACAAUUAGUUUCGGUAAGAAAACUAGGGUUUCCAGUACAAUGAAAAAUAAGAAAAGAAAAGAAAGUUCAGAGAGAGAGAAUAAUCAUAGGAGAGG
rnacentral:lncRNA from 1 species